AUUUCCUACAGAUCAGGAGAAAUAUAACAUUCUACUAUUUGGUGAGUUUGUGUCACAAUUGAGUGAUAUUGUGAAACUUGAAAUUCUGUCACUGACAUAAAUUUGUUAGCAGUUUGUGAAACUUUAAUGAGAAAACAAUCAAAUAAAGAAAUUAUUCAAAUAAUGGAAAUAGUGGAUUCUUUGCUUUAAACUUCUCUUUUAAAACUUAUUUUCUUUUUCUUUUCUUUUUUUUUUUUGAGACGGAGUUUCGCUCUUGUUACCCAGGCUGGAGUGCAAUGGCGCCAUCUCAGCUCACCGCAACCUCCACCUCCUGGGUUCAGGCAAUUCUCCUGCCGCAGCCUCCUGAGUAGCUGGGAUUACAGGCACGCACCACCAUGUCCAGCUAAUUUUUUGUAAUUUUAGUAGAGACGGGGUUUCACCAUGUUGACCAGGACGGUCUCGAUGUGUUGACCUCGUGAUCCACCGGCCUCGGCCUCCCAAACUGCUGGGAUUACAGGCAUGAGCCACCGCGCCCGGCCAACUUAUUUUCUUAAAUUUAAUAUUAACAAAGUUCUUCCCUUUAAACAAUUUCACAAAUCCCACUAAGUGAAAUAACCAGAUAAUUUUUGGAAUCGGUUGAUUUUGUUAUGCCUUAUAUAAUAAAUUAUAUUUAAGGAUGAAAUAAUCCUGCAGAAAAGUUGAAGAGUAGUUGUCUAUAUGAGUAUAUUCAAAAAUGCCUAUAAAGUGUUUUGAAAAAUAUAUCUUAGAUGUAUGAGUAAAGCAGAUACGUGACAUUCAAAUUGCAACUUUUUUUUUCAGUUUAAUUUAUUUAUUUAAGCUGUCUCCUGCCACAAGCAAAGAGAUAGAAGAUCUGUAUACCUGUCAUAAUUUGAUACAAGUAAAGAAGGUGAGAAAAAUAUCAGAAGCAGUUAAGAGACCAGGAAGUGGUUGUUUUAAGGAUGAGGAGACAUUCUGCUUGAUGGCUUUUUAAAAUGUUUUCUCCAGAGUCACCUGCCUCACUAACAAUGCUUUUUGGUCUUAAAGUCUGU
rnacentral:lncRNA from 13 species